GGGUAUUCACCCUUCACUUUCAAGAGAUUUGCUAGUGGAAGGUGGGAGCCUCAUCGAAGAGGGGCCUCGCAAGUGGAUGUAGGUCACUUGACCGAACCACUUUAAAAACGGCGUAAUCUCUAGUUUGCAUUUCUUAUUGUCAUUUACAUUACUGCAAACCUUCUUACUUGCUUUGUUUCAUCAUUAUCUUUGCUGCUCAACUUUGCGAAUACGCUUUCAAGUUA
rnacentral:lncRNA from 1 species